CGACUAGCUCAUAUGGUCCAGCAAGAAAGUUUUGUCUGUGAUUUUGCCUCUUUAGAGAGACACAAGUACAAGCUUUUGAACUCCACUAGAUCUCACUCAAUUUUCCUAAGAUACUGAAGAGCUGUGAAUGUAGUAUGUGAUCUGAAGAGAAUGUCAGUGGAAAAUCAGAAAUCUUGAAAACUACUGAAAACAGCAGUAGCUUUUCUGAAGAGAUUGAGUGCUGCCAUGCUUGCUUACUGAAAGGAGCAGACUGAAGGGCCAGAUGAUACAUGUCAGAAAAACUAAGACCCUUAUCUUAUACUUUGCAACAUGAUAUAUUGCCAAUUUCCCUCUGAAUGUUUAAGAAGCUAUUGCAAAAUAUUUCCAACAUAGACUGCUCCUCUAAAAGUCUGGGUGCUAUCCAGGAUCAGACUCAGCAAUGUCAUCAUGUCAAAAGAGAGGCUGAUCUUCAGGCAGUUCAGAAACAAGGAAUCCCGAAAUUGCCUAAGGUAAGCCAAUCUUUGAGAAGCUCAGACAAACUGUGAAAAAUUAAGAUGUUCAGAGAAGUUGUGUAAUGUUUAAGACAAUUGCUAAAUUAUGAUUGCUCAUUUCCAAACUUUGAAGAGCCAUUGCAGAUAUACUUGUGCCUUUUGCUAAAAUUGUGACCAAUGUCAUACCUCUCAAACAGAAAUGGAAGGCUGGCUCUCCAGUUUCCACUUUUAACUUGUGAAAAUUUAACAGCUGAUGGUCUAGGCAAGAGCUGGUAUAGAAAAGACCUAGAGGCUUUUAGCAUUGUGUGCUUUUUUUAAAGUUCAGAACUGCACAGUGAUACACAGCCUGCAGUGCUGAUGGAUGCAGAUGCUCACACUACUGAAUGUAUGCAUUUGUGUUGCCUUUGGGUGUAAAGUGUUCCUCCCCCCACCCUCUGCCCAGUUUGGGUUGGGUUUUUUUUUGAUCAUGUCUUUAAGAAGAGAAGACCUUUGAGUAUUCUUUUUUCUUUGAAUAAAAUAUAUUUUUUCCACCUUAAAAAA